GAUGAACGCUGGCGGCGUGCCUAAUACAUGCAAGUCGAGCGAACGGACGAGAAGCUUGCUUCUCUGAUGUUAGCGGCGGACGGGUGAGUAACACGUGGAUAACCUACCUAUAAGACUGGGAUAACUUCGGGAAACCGGAGCUAAUAACGGAUAAUAUUUUGUACCGCAUGGUUCAAAAGUGAAAGACGGUCUUGCUGUCACUUAUAGAUGGAUCCGCGCUGGAUUAGCUAGUUGGUAAGGUAACGGCUUACCAAGGCAACGAUGCAUAGCCGACCUGAGAGGGUGAUCGGCCACACUGGAACUGAGACACGGUCCAGACUCCUACGGGAGGCAGCAGUAGGGAAUCUUCCACAAUGGGCGAAAGCCUGACGGAGCAACGCCGCGUGAGUGAUGAAGGUCUUCGGAUCGUAAAACUCUGUUAUUAGGGAAGAACAUAUGUGUAAGUAACUGUGCACAUCUUGACGGUACCUAAUCAGAAAGCCACGGCUAACUACGUG
rnacentral:rRNA from 1 species